GUUGUAUAUUAGGCCAAGUGACAAAAAGAAAGGUUAUGGGUUUGGUAGUGGCAAGGAUGAUUCUAGCUGGGUCGAGUUGUUGAGGUCACAUAAGCUUGUUCAAGUCUCAUUGUUUCAAAAGCCCAUUGUUAAGAUCAAAGUGGGCAGAUAUAUUGCUAGCCACUAAUAAUUUUGAUUUGGAAAAUAUUGUGAUUUCAACUAGAACUGGGGUUUCGUACAAGGCUGUUUUACCUGAUGGGUCUGCUCUUGCUAUUAAAAGGCAUAUGCU
rnacentral:misc_RNA from 1 species